rnacentral:rRNA from 1 species
CUCAGGUGUUGUUGGGUAGGGGAGCGUUCUGUAAGCCUGCGAAGGUGGCCUGUGAGGGUUGCUGGAGGUAUCAGAAGUGCGAAUGCUGACAUAAGUAACGAUAAAGCGGGUGAAAAGCCCGCUCGCCGGAAGACCAAGGGUUCCUGUCCAACGUUAAUCGGGGCAGGGUGAGUCGACCCCUAAGGCGAGGCCGAAAGGCGUAGUCGAUGGGAAACGGGUUAAUAUUCCCGUACUUGGUGUUACUGCGAAGGGGGGACGGAGAAGGCUAUGUUGGCCGGGCGACGGUUGUCCCGGUUUAAGCGUGUAGGUGUGUGUUCCAGGUAAAUCCGGUUCACUUUAACACUGAGGCGUGAUGACGAGGCACUACGGUGCUGAAGCAACAAAUGCCCUGCUUCCAGGAAAAGCCUCUAAGCAUCAGGUAACAUCAAAUCGUACCCCAAACCGACACAGGUGGUCAGGUAGAGAAUACCAAGGCGCUUGAGAGAACUCGGGUGAAGGAACUAGGCAAAAUGGUGCCGUAACUUCGGGAGAAGGCACGCUGACACGUAGGUGAAGUGAUUUACUCAUGGAGCUGAAGUCAGUCGAAGAUACCAGCUGGCUGCAACUGUUUAUUAAAAACACAGCACUGUGCAAACACGAAAGUGGACGUAUACGGUGUGACGCCUGCCCGGUGCCGGAAGGUUAAUUGAUGGGGUCAGCGCAAGCGAAGCUCCUGAUCGAAGCCCCGGUAAACGGCGGCCGUAACUAUAACGGUCCUAAGGUAGCGAAAUUCCUUGUCGGGUAAGUUCCGACCUGCACGAAUGGCGUAAUGAUGGCCAGGCUGUCUCCACCCGAGACUCAGUGAAAUUGAACUCGCUGUGAAGAUGCAGUGUACCCGCGGCAAGACGGAAAGACCCCGUGAACCUUUACUAUAGCUUGACACUGAACAUUGAGCCUUGAUGUGUAGGAUAGGUGGGAGGCUUUGAAGUGUGGACGCCAGUCUGCAUGGAGCCGGCCUUGAAAUACCACCCUUUAAUGUUUGAUGUUCUAACGUGGACCCGUGAUCCGGGUUGCGGACAGUGUCUGGUGGGUAGUUUGACUGGGGCGGUCUCCUCCUAAAGAGUAACGGAGGAGCACGAAGGUUGGCUAAUCCUGGUCGGACAUCAGGAGGUUAGUGCAAUGGCAUAAGCCAGCUUGACUGCGAGCGUGACGGCGCGAGCAGGUGCGAAAGCAGGUCAUAGUGAUCCGGUGGUUCUGAAUGGAAGGGCCAUCGCUCAACGGAUAAAAGGUACUCCGGGGAUAACAGGCUGAUACCGCCCAAGAGUUCAUAUCGACGGCGGUGUUUGGCACCUCGAUGUCGGCUCAUCACAUCCUGGGGCUGAAGUAGGUCCCAAGGGUAUGGCUGUUCGCCAUUUAAAGUGGUACGCGAGCUGGGUUUAGAACGUCGUGAGACAGUUCGGUCCCUAUCUGCCGUGGGCGCUGGAGAACUGAGGGGGGCUGCUCCUAGUACGAGAGGACCGGAGUGGACGCAUCACUGGUGUUCGGGUUGUCAUGCCAAUGGCACUGCCCGGUAGCUAAAUGCGGAAGAGAUAAGUGCUGAAAGCAUCUAAGCACGAAACUUGCCCCGAGAUGAGUUCUCCCUGAGACUUUAGGUCUCCUGAAGGAACGUUGAAGACGACGACGUUGAUAGGCCGGGUGUGUAAGCGCAGCGAUGCGUUGAGCUAACCGGUACUAAUGAACCGUGAGGCUUAACCUUACA